rnacentral:pre_miRNA from 1 species
AAUCUACUCCCUCCGUUCGGAAAUACUCGUCAUUGAAAUGAAUGUAUUUAGAUGUAUUUUAGUUCUAGAUACAUCCAUUUUGGUGACAAGUAAUUCCAAACGGAGGGAGUAGAUC